rfam:Acidisphaera rubrifaciens HS-AP3 DNA, contig: Asru_1013.
GGCCUGUUUUGCCCAGGCGGAGCUCGACCGCCCGUUCAAGCGAUGAUCUCGUUCAUCGACGAUCAUCGGGAAGCCUACGGGGUCGAGCCGAUCUGCAGGGUGCUGCCGAUCGCCCCG